CCCAAGGAUGACCAGAAGAAGAAAGAUGCCAGAAAGCCAGCCAAAAAAAAAGACAAAGACCUAGUAAAUAAAUCUGGUGGCUAGGCCAAAAAGAAGUGGCCCAAAGGCAAAGUUCAGGACAAGCUUUUUUCAUCUCGUCCUGUUUGACAAAGCUACAUAGGACAAACUCUGUCAGGAAGUUCCCAGUUAUAGGUUUAUUACUCCCGCCGUGGUCUCCGAGAGACUGGAAGACUCACGGUUCCUUGGCCAGGACAGCCCUUCUGGAGCUCCUUACUAAAGGACUGCUCAAGCUGGUUUCAAAGCACAGAGCCCAUUUACACCAGAAACACAAGGGGUGGAGAUGCCCCAGCUGCUGGUGAAGGUGCA
rnacentral:lncRNA from 1 species